AUCCUUUUGUAGUUCCUAAGUGUGAUAAUUCAGUGUUCACGUGCAUGUAUGAGAAAUGUGCCCUCAAUCCUUGUUAUGACGCGGUCCAUUACCCAUCUGAUG